GUCCCUCUCAAACUCUCUCUUUCUUCUCUCUCCUCCAUCACUGCCUCAUUCUCUCUCAGACUCUCAGACGCUCUGGACGAGGUGGGCGCUUUCGUCAGGCCUAAAGCCCAGCCACCCUUGCCCCUCCCUGAGCCGCGGUGAGCUUCAAAAGCUCCGAGAGGUUUUUGAGUUUCAGACGCUAUUUCCAGCGACUCUGGCCACUGUUUUCAUGAGUGAGGUAUGGAUAUCCCUCUCCUCAUCACGCUCUAGCUGGUAUUGUAAUUAUUUUGGGUUAAUUUCGAAGUUUUCAAGUUUGAUUUUCUACACCUAUGGACGCUCAGAAGAUUCUUAAUCAGCCUCUAUGACGCCGCUUCCUGGUUAGGUCUUCAUCGUGCUUUAAUCUCCGAUCUUUUUCGUUUAUUUCUCUGUUAAUCUUGAUAGAUCUAUGCUUCAGUUUACUGAGCUCUUUGUCAUCAUCGUUAUGGAUAUCUUAUUAUUAAUUUGAUGUAUAUUUUUUAUUGUGACUUGCUAUUUGAGCCUAUUUGUCCAUAUCAUGAAUCGUAAACUUCUUUCAGUCCUUUCAAUUAUCGAUUUCUAUUUAAUGCAUUUCAAUUUCUUGUGUUUUUAAUAAUAAAUGUCUUGUUUUCUUGGCCCAAACCCUUCCAGAUCCAAUAGGGAAUUUUUGUAUCAGAAUUUGUGUGAAGUUAUAAAGGCUGGAGCAACAACUCUGAACAUUCCUGACACUGUGGGUUAUAAAAUGCCAAGUGAAUAUAGUCAGUUGAUUUCUGGCAUAAAAUCUAAUACCCCUGGAAUUGAGAAUGUUAUCAUUUUGACUCACUGCCAAAAUGAUCUUGGACUUUCUACUGUCAAUACUAUAGCGGUAUGCCAUGUUGAGCAGCCUGACUUUGCGGUUGAGGUGGAAGAAAAGAAGGUCUAUGAUCAGGCUGGUGAGGAGAAUGAAUUGAUGUUGGAUGGUGGAUUUGUGGUGCCUCCAACAAACGCAUUUGGCCACACUUUCAGGGAUUAUGAUGUUAACAGUGACCGGAGCGAUGGUGUUGAGGAAUUCUAUCGAAUCAACUACAUUAACCAAAGUGUUGACUUUGUAAGCAAACAGCUGCGGAUUACAUUUUCUUCAAUUUGGAAAAGUGCAGCUGUUUAAUUCGAACCUGGGAUUCUUAGUUCCCCAACUAACGUAUUUGGUUUAUAACAGUGGAAACUGAGAGAAGGUGAUUCACAAUUCUUGGAGGAUGAAAGCACAAAUUUUUUUGCACGUAAAGUGGCAAAUCAUUACAGUGCAAGGACGAAUCAAAUGCUGGAAGAACGAGAAGCUCGUCCAAUCAUCCAUUUAAAAAAGCUUAACAAUUGGAUUAAGAGUGUCUUAAUUCAACUCUAUGCUCGCAGAGGAGAUGCUGUACUUGAUCUUGCAUGUGGCAAGGGGCGUGAUCUCAUCAAAUGGGACAAGGCCAAAAUUGGAUAUUAUGUUGGCAUCGAUAUCGCUGAAGGCUCAGUUGUCAUGACCUUAGAUUGUCGUGGGAAUCAUGUGCUUGGGGGGCUUUAUAACAAGCAAGAUGUCCUCCUUUAUGGGUUUUGGAAGCAAAGUUUGCAAUAUGAAUUUGAGGUUGGUUUGUAAGCUGCUUUAGGUCAGAGUUAUUUGUAAGCUGCUUUAGGUCACAGAGUUAUGUGGUAUUAUCAUUCCCUCCAGUGAAGGAAGCUGUAACCUUUACAAGGAAUUCCAACAUGCGCAAGGAUCCCAUCGUGCGUAUGGAGCUAGAAGGAAGGACACGUACACCCAAAUGGAAUUGGAUGAGGUGCGAGAAGAAUUGGCAACUCAUGUCCUAGAAUGGCUUUUUGGUUGAGCUAAACAUUCCUUCAUUUUACAUGUCUUUCUAGCUAGUAUUUUGCUUAUGCAUAGACAAGUAUGGAUAAUUUGUGGUGUAGGGCUGGUAAAAUUGUGAUUUGGAUGUGACAAGUAUGGAUCAUUCAAGUAUUUUGCUUAUAUA